GACGAACGCUGGCGGCGUGCUUAACACAUGCAAGUCGAGCGGAAAGGCCCUUCGGGGUACUCGAGCGGCGAACGGGUGAGUAACACGUGGGCAAUCUGCCCCUCGCUCUGGGAUAACUCCGGGAAACCGGGGCUAAUACCGGAUAUGAACCCUUUAGGCAUCUUUGGGGUUGGAAAGUUUUUCGGCGAGGGAUGAGCCCGCGGCCUAUCAGCUUGUUGGUGGGGUAAUGGCCUACCAAGGCAGUGACGGGUAGCCGGCCUGAGAGGGCGACCGGCCACACUGGGACUGAGACACGGCCCAGACUCCUACGGGAGGCAGCAGUGGGGAAUAUUGCGCAAUGGGCGAAAGCCUGACGCAGCGACGCCGCGUGAGGGAUGACGGCCUUCGGGUUGUAAACCUCUUUCAGCAGGGACGAAGCGCAAGUGACGGUACCUGCAGAAGAAGCACCGGCCAACUACGUGCCAGCAGCCGCCGUAACAC
rnacentral:rRNA from 1 species